CCUUAUCACUUUUCCAGCCCAGCUAUCUAUUCUGAAUCCGUUGGACGGAGAACUGAUAAGGGC
rnacentral:pre_miRNA from 1 species